UACGUAGGGUGCGAGCGUUGUCCGGAAUUAUUGGGCGUAAAGAGCUCGUAGGCGGUCUGUUGCGUCCGCUGUGAAAACUCGGGGCUUAACCCCGAGCCUGCAGUGGAUACGGGCAGACUAGAGGUAGGUAGGGGAGAAUGGAAUUCCCGGUGUAGCGGUGAAAUGCGUAGAUAUCUGGAGGAAUACCGGUGGCGAAGGCGGCAUCCUGGACCAUUACUGAUACUGAACCGCGAAAGCUAGGGGAGCAAACGGG
rnacentral:rRNA from 1 species